AUGUUUUGUUUUAAUCAGAAUCCAGCAAGUUCUAGAAUUGUCCGAGUGGCUUCAUGUACCUCAACCUCUGAUCUCCUUACAAGGCUGUCUAGAUUUUCGAAUACGAAGAAAGAUGCAGUUUCACACGCUUCGAAACUAAUCCUGCCUGGAUGAAGAUUCUUCAGAAGCACUAUUGGUAAGUGCCACAUUUAAGAAGACCUUUCUUAUGAUUUAGUAAUAUUAUGUCCUCUAGAUGGUGCCCUUUCUUUGUGGAGAUUAUUUUUAUUCAUUCACACUCUUGAAGCCAACCUGGAAUUAUAAAGAGAGAGUUGGCUUCAUUCUUAUGAUCUUGGUUUCAUUCCAAGACUGUCCUACCACUUUAAUAUAUAUGUUUAGCAUCUAGAGUUCCUCUAUAUGAAUUACAUUUAGCAGAAUCAUAACCUACUAGAACUGCUGAUUGCAAUAACUUCUUUGUUCUUUUUAUUUGUGUGCCGCUAUAGAGUUUCCCUGGACCCUGAUAGAACACGGGGACAUGUAUUGGCCUGCUAAUUGAAAAUAAUAAAUAAAGUGUUGUUAAUUGUUCAAUUAACCCCACAUGCGUGCCAUGUGGCGCAUGUAAGGACAAAAAAAGCUUUCUUUCUCUCUCUCUCUCACUCGCGUGUAAGGACAGAAAAAGCUUUCUUUCUUUCUCUCUCUCUCACUCUCCAUUCCAUCAUCUCUUUCAAUCGAAAUAGAUCCAAAUCUCUUUCUUUCUAAGAAGUUUAGGGAUUUGAUUAUGGUGGAUAGAGUUUUAAGGGUUUUGGAGAUCCAAAGUCUCUUUCUUUCCAGAGACAAGGCCAGACUUAAUUGGUGGUAUACUGUGGUGCGAGUCAUGGAAAAGUUUGCAGAAGCGUCAAAAGCUUGAGGUUGAUAACACUAUCUGUCUUAUUGAAAUUUCUGAUCUUCCUCGUUUGAGCUAGUCGCCAAGUUCUGCUACACACUCACUGCCAUGAGAUCCUCGAGUAUCCUGAUCAAUUGAACACUACCAAGAAAUGCAUCGAGUCACUAUCCAUGAGACCGUUGACUGAUCGAGGUAAGAAAAAGCUAGUACCUUUCUUUAAACUCGUUUUUUCAAAACAAGUGUCAUUUUUACCAAAAUUUUUAAAUAGUUGUACCUUCUGUCUUACUUGUAAUAAAAUAGUUUCCUCUUUGCUGAUGGUCUUCUCA